UCGACUUUAAUUUUAUAAAUAAGAUAAUAUAAGUAAUAGAUUAGGUGUUACACAUACUCCUCAUUAUACUGAGUCAUAAAACAAUCAUAAUUCAAAAACUCCAUAUAACAUUAAUCAAAAUUCAGCAGCGGAAUUAUUCGACCGUUUCAAUAAAACAAAUUUAAUACUCAUCUUCAAAAUAAAAUAAACAUAGUUUUCAAUACUUUUAAACUUCAAAAACAAAAAUCAAUGAGAAACCCCCCAACCCUAAUGUUAAAGAUUAGAGCACGUAUUCGACUACAUAAUUAAUGCUAAUAAGACCAAUAAUGGAAGAAGACUCCCGUCGCCACCUUCUAAGCGUUCUACAGUUAGAGCUCCUCGUCCUGAUGUAACUGCCUCAGCCAUUGGUGCACUAACCACCACCAUGCACAUAAUUGCAACCACAAAUGCAACUCUCAUACUUGCCAUUGUUUCUCUAGGCAAGAAUUGAAAUAGAAAUUACAAUGUGCUUUGGAAUGUUUUUGAUUUGAUUGGUGAGUAAAAGUUUCGCAAGGUGUUGGUUUAUAUAGAAGAUAAGAGAGAAGGUAUUUGGUAUGUGUUUGGUUUCAAAUUAAAUAUUUUGGAAUUGGUUGUCUAUCUUAAAUAUUGCAAGUGAAAAGAAAGUGCAAAAAGUCUCAAAGAAAAAAAGUAUCCGUGCACCCGAUUAUUUACAUCUGCAGUUAAAAGAAAACAAAAGCAACACCUAAUUUUGUCCAUUCCAAUUUAAAAAAAUGUCUGCAAAAUACAGUCCUUCAAAAUUAUGACAAGCUUUUUUUUUUCCUUCCAAACACUCAAUAUUAAUAUCGUUAAUUUUUUAUGUUUGAACAUGGGGAUCGAAGUAUUUAAUUAGAGUAAUGUUAUUUAAACAAUCAUUUCUUGUGAUAACUUGUUGGACAAUCAAAUUAUACAAAGAAAUUUAGGUAGUGACACAAAAAUAAAAGCAAAAGAGAGAGAGAGAGUAUGAGAGAGUUGUCAAAAAAUGGUUGUUCAAAUAUCAUUUCUCAUUUGAUUAUAAAUUCAAUUCUCAACUCUUCUAUCUUUUUUUUUUCUUCUAAGCAGGUAGAAAGACACACUAUAUUCCCGUAAUUGACACACAUUAAAACUAAGUGAAUAGAAAAAGAGAAAUGAUAUCUCCGUGAACAUAAUACAGUUGGCAGGGACAAUGCAUUGUUAUAUGUAGGGGUCGGGGUCUGAACUCCGAACGCUCCACUUAUUCACCUUAAAGGUGAAUUAUAGUCACUAAGCUACUUAACCAACAAAAAAAUAUUACAUUUUUACAACUAUUUUUAGACAACUAUCUCUCUUUAUUAUUUUUGUUUUCGUACCAAUGCCUACAUUUCUUGGUGUAUCUUUGAUUGUCUUAUAAGAUGUCACAAAAAUAGUUGUUUAAAUAACAUAACUCAUAGAAAAAUUGCUCUUUGAAAUUGUUAGCAUCGAUUAAAAUAAUCUCUGAUUAUUUUAAAUUGUCAAACAUAUUGUUCCUGUCAAGCAGUGGCGUUGCCAGGACCCUGGGUUAGGGGGUUCAAACUUUCGAACUUUCAAUUUUUUUAUCAUGGGUGUGUAUAUUGCUGCCAUAUUGAUAUGAAAAUUGCAAAUAUAUUCAUAAACGUCUCUUUUAUUAGUCAUUUUAAUCGUCGAAUUAGUUUAGAUAGUCAACUUUAUUCUAGAAUAUGUUUUGUUAUUGUCCAAUUUAAUCUAUAAAAUUACUAAAAACACAUAUGCACUAAGGAUGUGUCAACAAUUUCAAUACAUUUAGAGAGUAUGAUAAGAGUGUCUAACAUACAUUCAUGACACGAAAACUAAAGAGAUACAACCAAAUAUUUAAAUCUGUAAAAAAGAGAAAGUAGAGGUGCAGAAGUGAAACGAUCUUUGAGAUAAGGGUGCAAACUUAAAUUUCCAGGGGAUUCAAAGUUGAAAUUGAAAAGAUUUGUAGGUGUAAUUUUAAGAACCCAGGGGGUUCAGCUGCAUCCCCUGAGAUGCAUGUAGCUCCGCCAAUGCUGUCAAGGGCGAUGUAUUUUCUGUAUUUUUAAAAAGUAAUCCCUCUUUGUCAUUGUUAGCUUACCUCAGUUGAUUUGGACAAUGCAUAAUAUAUGCAAGGUUCAGAGUUCAAACCUCGGCCACUACCAAAAAGAAAAAAGUAAUCCCUCUUUCCUCUUCCUUUCCUUUCCUUUCCUGCCUUUAUGCUCCAAAUCCCAUCUCCUCUCUGACAACUACUUAGUGCUUACCUCAUGUCUUAACUUGCUACUUAUCCUUAACCGCCCCCUAUCGAGCUGGAUUUCUUAGACGUAUUUUCUUACCCUUCAGCUCACCCAUGCAUCUAAGGGUACCAUCUCCUUAAAUAGUGAGAAGUCUCCAUUAUUUAGGACGGGGGUAUGGAACUAUGUAUCCUAUAAUGGUCCACAACCCUCCAAGGACGAGGCUAAGUAUUACGUGAAGUGAUUUAUAAAACUGGCAUUCAAGAUAGGACUAAGGUGUGGAGCCACAUACCUUAUAAUAGUUCGCAAAUACUUGGUUAAUUGUUGAUUUAUGAUCAGGAAAAGUUCCAAUUGGAUGCAAGUAGGUUUACAAAACUAAAUACCACUCUGAUAGUCCUCUUGAAAGACAUAAAACCCGGUUAGAUGCAAAGGGUUAUACUCAAAUGGAUUAAGUUUAUUACUUUGAUACUUUUUUAUCGGUUGCAAAAAUGAUGACAAUUAGAACAUUAUUAUUUGUCCUUUGUGCCAAUAACUAUCCCUUAUCAAUUGAAUAAAUUGAAUUUUAAGUUGGUUGAGAAUUGGUUCCUUAUCUAGCAAGUUAUUAAUGCAUCAAUUUCAUUUAUAUAGAUGUGUGCAAACGUCUUAGUCUAUAUAAUUUGUUUUACUAAAAAAAUUAUAAUAUUAAGAUUGUGAAUAGAUAUUAUAUAUACAUGUAUGAAAUUGAUGUGUUCAAAAAUAAUUAAGCAAUCCUAAUAAAAUCAAUUCAAAUAUUAACAUGCUUGCCAAUUGGAACUUAGAAUUGUGAAUAGAAAUAUAUGUAAUAAUAAUUUCAUUCAUAAAAUUUAGGCAAAAUUACUAAUAUAGUUCUUUAAGUUAUUUUAUUGUAAUAGAUUAGUCGUUUAAGUUUUUUUUAACGUGAUCUUUUAAGUCAAAACCGUGUACACCAUUGUCCUUUUGUACAACUUCCUUUACAUAAACAUUCACGUGAUCAUUAUUGGAUUGACGUCGAUUAGUAUUUUUAUUUAACUUUUUUUUGAAAAAUAAAAUUUUUAAACCCAUAUAAUAUUAAUUUUCCUAACUAAUAAUAUUAAAAAAAUUGUACUUAAAAAAAAAAAUCUAAUAAUUUGAAAUGAGCAACAACAAUAAAUAAAUAUAGGGAGAAGAAAGCAAUAAUACAAUUGUUAAAAGUAGCAUGGAAUAGUCUUAUAUCAAAUGUAUUUAUUACACAUGCAACAACCAAACUGGCAAAAAAAAAUCAUUUUAAUUACUACAAAUUAUAAGUCUGAAACAAGAGGAAACUCGCAGAGGUGGAGCCCACAUUGCCCUUCUUUUAUUCUCAUUAGUAAAUUCACCAGCUAUAGUGCUGUUAAUACAGAAGAAGAAAGAAGUGCCAUGCUAUCUUCUUCUUUCUCUCAGUCAUUCAUACUCUUUAGAACCUGAUGCUGCAAUACAGAAGAAAACAUGCAAAUUAAGUUAUAUAAAAGAACUAUAAAUAUAUAUGCUCAUGAAGGGAUACUAUGUUUGAAAUAAAAAAAUUGCCCAAGUCAAAUGAAAAUUGAGAUUAUUUUAUAAUAUUUUUUAUUAAUUUUAUGGUAUUAAUUCCAUUUUGAUGAUUGGCCAAAAUUGUAUAAGUCACUCAUAAUUUGUUUCCACUUAUUUUAUACAAUAUAAAAUCUGUUUUAAUAAAUAAAAUGAUACACAUAUAUUAUAUUAAAAAAAAAAUGAUACAUAUUUGACCUCCUCCAAUUAUCAUUUCAAUAUCUCACUCUCACUUAAUUUUCGUCAUCAUCUUUUAGCUUGGAGGACACUUGUUCAAUUUGAGAAUAUUAUUAUAUGAAAUAAAUAUUAUUUUUCUCAUUCCAUUGUAAAUAUUGUUUUUUGUUCCACUUCAUUUUAUUUAGGCAUAUUUAAUAAGUUAUUUGGUAUUUUUUUUUAAGGUGAGUCAUAGACCUCCUACUUAAAACUUCUUCAGGUACUUUAGAUCUCACUUAACAGCUAAAGAAAUGCAUGACAAGAGUUACACACAUAUAUAGGGUUUUGUUUUCCCUAACGAUAUUCUUUAAAAAAUUUCAAUUAAAAAAUUAUUCACUAAAAAAGUCGAACACUUUAAUUUUUUAGUAUUGAAUAUGCAAGUUUCAAACUUUCAAGAUCAUUAACCUGCUACUUUAGAUCUUUAAAGAGUAUUCUUAAAAAACUCGUUAGCGUUUCUCAUAUAUGUAAUUAAGGAGUGAGAUAUAAAACAUACCUAUUACAGUUGGUAGAAGUGCUAAACUUAUAGGGAAUGUUAACACCACAUUUGCCAGGGAGAGCAGCAGCUUGGUUGUUAUUCAAGCGAGCAAUGUUACCAGCAGCCCUUUUCAAGCAGUUGCAAGCAGUCUUGCGGGCGGGGCCGGUGUUGGCGGCACCGUUAAGUUUCUUCACUCCACCACAGCAUGCUGCAGAUGGACCAGGACCACCUUGAAGAUAAGUAAUACAUGGAGUAAGGAAACCAACUACUUGUCCACAUGUGACUGCCUCUGCCAUUGGUGCACUAACCACCACCAUGCACAUAAUUGCAGCCACAAUUGCAACUCUCAAACUUGCCAUUGUUUCUCUAGGGAAGAAUUGAAAUAGAAAUUACAAUUUGCUUUUGGUUUGUUUUGUAAUGUUUUUGGUUUGCUUUGUGAGUAUUAAGUGUUUGUAAGGUGUUGGUUUAUAUAGAAGAUAAGAGAGAAGGUAUUUGGUUAUGUGUUUGGUUUCAAAUUAAAUAUUUUGGAAUUGGUUGUGUAUCUUAAAUAUUGUAAGUGAAAAGAAAGUGCAAAAAGUUUAAGUAUUUUUUUAGUUUUUAUGUUAAAGAUGGGGAACAAAUUAUGUUAGGGAGGAUCCUCUCCAGUGGAAAACUUCGCAAUUUUCUACUUGAGUGAAUAGAAAAAUU
rnacentral:lncRNA from 1 species